UACGUAGGGGGCAAGCGUUGUCCGGAUUUACUGGGCGUAAAGAGCGUGUAGGCGGCCAAGUAGGUCCGGUGUGAAAACUCGAGGCUUAACCUCGAGAUGUCAUCGGAAACCAUUUGGCUAGAGUCCGGAAGAGGAAAGUGGAAUUCCUGGUGUAGCGGUGAAAUGCGUAGAUAUCUGGAGGAAUACCGGUGGCGAAGGCGGCAUCCUGGACCAUUUACUGACGCUGAGGCGCGAAAGCUAGGGGAGCAAACGGG
rnacentral:rRNA from 1 species